AAUGCUUGACUUUAUUAGGAUGUGUUUCAAAUAUUCCAUAGCAGAGCCCAGAUGAUUAACCAUGCACAGUACACGCCAUGAUAUGGCGGGCAGGUAUAGAUUUGAUGUUAGAAAUGUCUUCUAAAUUCUGUGAAAAUAUUUUCAUGUUUCAGAUAAACGCAGAGUUUAAGAGCAUCCCAGCCAUGCCUCUACAAUCAAAGUGUUUGCAAAGCGGCCGGGGAGCAGGGAAAAAAGCUGAAAGUCAUAUCUGCCAUGAUGACAGAUGACAUUGAUGCCAGAAGGGAGUCCCACAUUAAAGGACUGCAUCUAUCUGAAUGAGAAUCCCAACGUCUUGGAGCGGGAGUACACGGACAUGACUGAGGCCACUGCGCUGAGUGCCAUCAUGAAAACGACAGUGGGAAUUUACGUCACCAAACAGACGCCAGGCAAUGACUUUUCUGAUGUUGGCAUCAUCAUCGAGGGUGUGGUGGUUCUUCAAGAUUUGGACAGCAUGGCCCAUCAACAGCCUUGCUGUUUGGACUUUGUUACUCUUUGAAGAUGAGGUAUCCGUUACAGCUCCGCUACACUUUUGAAGGGAUUCAAAAGGUUUUAAUGGAGUUGGAUGUGACUUAA